GCAGCCACCUUUUAAAACGCGUCAAAGCGUAACCUAAACCCCCCCAAAAUACCAUUAAUUUUCAUGAACCCCUAAUUUAUAAUGAAUGACUCCAUAUUUAUAUGGAAGACACCAUGCUAGGAUUAGUAACAAGAAUUUAUAAUUCUCCAAAAUGCAAAUAUAAACCAACAUGGAUAGACCAUUGGUAGUUACCGAACCUAAAUUUACUGCAAUAACACCCACAAGAAAACUCUGCAGUACUUACUCGUUAACCUAACACCAGCGCAUUACAGGAAAGAUUAAAAAAAAGAGAAGGAAUUCGGCAAAUGACGGCCCCGCCUGUUUACCAAAAACAUCGCCUCUUGACUUAUAAUAAGAGGUCCAGCCUGCCCAGUGAAUUUUAAACGGCCGCGGUAUCCUAACCGCGCGAAGGUAGCAUAAUCACUUGUUCUUUAAAUGGGGACUCGUAUCAACGGCAUCACGAGGGUUUUACUGUCUCCUCUUUUUGAUCAGUGAAAUUGAUCUUCCCGUGAAGAAGCGGGGAUAUUUUUAUAAGACGAGAAGACCCCAUGGAGCUUUAAACCAAAUAACAACUUAACUACUUAUCCCACAAUAAAUUUAAGCCCUGUUAUAAGGUUUUUGGUUGGGGUGACCGCGGAGUAAAGCACAUCCUCCACGACGGAAAGAACAUAAUCUUUAUUUAAGAACCACACUUCUAGAAAUUAGUAUACUAACGUUUACUGACCCGACAAUCGAUCAACGGACCAAGUUACCCUGGGGAUAACAGCGCAAUCUACUUCAAGAGCUCAUAUCGACAAGUAGGCUUACGACCUCGAUGUUGGAUCAGGGUAUCCCGGUGGUGCAGCCGCUACCGAAGGUUCGUUUGUUCAACGAUUAAAACCCUA
rnacentral:rRNA from 1 species